rnacentral:rRNA from 1 species
GAAUUUUCCGCAAUGGGGGCAACCCUGACGGAGCGACGCCGCGUGCAGGAUGAAGGCCUUCGGGUUGUAAACUGCUUUUAUUUGGGACGAACAAAUGACGGUACCAAAUGAAUAAGAGGUUGCUAACUCUGUGCCAGCAGCAGCGGUAAUACAGAGACCUCAAGCGUUAUCCGGAUUUAUUGGGCGUAAAGGGUCCGCAGGCGGUCUUGAAAGUCUGUUGUUAAAGCGUGGAGCUUAACUCCAUUUCAGCAAUGGAAACUUCAAGACUAGAGUGUGGUAGGGGCAGAGGGAAUUCCCGGUGUAGCGGUGAAAUGCGUAGAUAUCGGGAAGAACACCAGUGGCGAAGGCGCUCUGCUGGGCCAUAACUGACGCUCAUGGACGAAAGCCAGGGGAGCGAAAGGGAUUAGAUACCCCUGUAGUC